ACGAACCGUGCGAACGUUGUUCGGAAUCACUGGGCUUAAAGGGCGCGUAGGCGGGUGGUCAAGUCUGUGGUGAAAUACUCCAGCUCAACUGGAGAACUGCCAUGGAUACUGGCUAUCUCGAGGAAGGUAGGGGCAUGCGGAACUGGUGGUGGAGCGGUGAAAUGCGUUGAUAUCACUAGGAACUCCGGUGGCGAAGGCGGCAUGCUGGACCUUUUCUGACGCUGAGGCGCGAAAGCCAGGGGAGCAAACG
rnacentral:rRNA from 1 species